CUUUCAAUGAUUUCUUUUUCACUCGAGGAGCUGUUGUUUGUGAGGAGUGUAAAUUUAGUUUUACUCAUACAGUAGCCGCGAUUCCAGCCGAGGAGCGACAAAGGUGGAGCUAAUAUGGUUCAGAGUCCUCUUAACGACUAUCUUGUUUUGGAAGAAAGAAGAAAUGGAAGAGAUGCUUUGAAAGUGAGGCAGCUGACAAGACAGACUUCAGUAAGAAUCCUCAGCGUUGAUCAAGAAAGUUCACAGCUCACCUCAUCUAGAGUGGGAAUCAUCUUGGAAGAAAGCUUGGUAAUGGAUGAACUGACCAAUCUCAGGCCUUCUAUGUCCAUUGUUUUCAGACUGAUUUCCCUGCCUACACCUGGACUAUCCUAAGUGUAUGAAAAGUAUUUUAUAUUUUUUGUCGGGAAAAGGUGAGCUGACACCUAAAAUUCAGUAU